GGCUUGUUAGCUCAGUUGGUAGAGCGCUGCACCGGUAUUGCAGAGGUCAUGGGUUCAAAUCCCAUACAGGCCU
rnacentral:tRNA from 1 species